AGUGAACGCUGGCGGUAGGCCUAACACAUGCAAGUCGAACGGCAGCACAGUAAGAGCUUGCUCUUACGGGUGGCGAGUGGCGGACGGGUGAGGAAUACAUCGGAAUCUACUUUUUCGUGGGGGAUAACGUAGGGAAACUUACGCUAAUACCGCAUACGACCUACGGGUGAAAGCAGGGGAUCUUCGGACCUUGCGCGAUUGAAUGAGCCGAUGUCGGAUUAGCUAGUUGGCGGGGUAAAGGCCCACCAAGGCGACGAUCCGUAGCUGGUCUGAGAGGAUGAUCAGCCACACUGGAACUGAGACACGGUCCAGACUCCUACGAGGCAGCAGUGGGGAAUAUUGGACAAUGGGCGCAAGCCUGAUCCAGCCAUACCGCGUGGGUGAAGAAGGCCUUCGGGUUGUAAAGCCCUUUUGUUGGGAAAGAAAAGCAGCAGGUUAAUACCCCGCUGUUCUGACGGUACCCAAAGAAUAAGCACCGGCUAACUUCGUG
rnacentral:rRNA from 1 species